rnacentral:rRNA from 1 species
GAUGAACGCUGGCAGUAUGCUUAACACAUGCAAGUCGUACGGAUAUAAGUGCGGUUGGUAACAACAGCUUUUAUGAGUGGCGGACGGGUGAGUAAUACGCAAGAAUCUCCCUUAAGGAAAGGGAUAACCUUUGGAAACGAUGGGUAAUCCCUUAUAGAGGCUUACAAAAGUAGGCCCAAAAUGGUUUUUCGGAAUCGCCUUUUGAUGAGCUUGCGUCUGAUUAGCUAGUUGGGGAGGUAAUGGCUCACCAAGGCGACGAUCAGUAGCUGGUUUGAGAGAAUGAUCAGCCACACUGGGACUGAGACACGGCCCAGACUCCUACGGGAGGCAGCAGUGAGGAAUUUUUCGCAAUGGGCGCAAGCCUGACGGAGCAAUACUGCGUGGAGGAUGAAGGCUCGUGGGCUGUAAACUCCUUUUCCCAGAGAAGAAGUUCUGACGGUAUCUGGGGAAUAAGCAUCAGCUAACUGCGUGCCAGCAGCUGCGGUAAUACGUGGGAUGCAAGCGUUAUCCGGAUUUAUUGGGCGUAAAGCGUCUGUAGGUGGCUUUGCAAGUGUGUUGUUAAAUCGUUCAGCUCAACUGAAUUCAAGCAUCACAAACUAUAAAGCUCGAGUGCGGUAGAGGAAGAGGGAAUUCCCUGUGGAGCGGUGAAAUGCGUAGAGAUAGGGAAGAACACCAACGGCGAAAGCACUCUUCUGGGCCUGCACUGACACUGAGAGACGAAAGCUAGGGGAGCGAGUAGGAUUAGAUACCCUAUUAGUCCUAGCCGUAAACGAUGGAAACUACAUUUUGGGUUGUCUAGGUAUUGCCCCCUUUAGGGAGUGCAAUUACCUAUUCCGUAAUUUUAUUACACAUUCAGAGUGGUAGCUAACGCGUUAAGUUUCCCGCCUGGGAAGUAUGCUCGCAAGAGUGAAACUCAAAGGAAUUGACGGGAGCCCGCACAAGCGGUGGAGCAUGUGGUUUAAUUCGAUGCAACACGAAGAACCUUACCAGGGCUUGACAUGUCACGAAAAAAAGAGAAAUUUUUUUGUGCUUUGGAUUGAUUUAUCAAGCUAUUGAGCGUGAACACAGGUGGUGCAUGGCUGUCGUCAGCUCGUGAUGCGAAUUGUUCUGUUAAGUCAGAUAACGAGCGCAACCCUCGUGCUUUGUUCGGUAAAAAAAAGCUUGUCUUUUUUUUAGAUGUCAAAGCAGACUGCUGGUGAGAAAUCAGAGGAAGGUGAGGAUGAUGUCAAGUCAGCAUGCCCCUUACGCCCUGGGCUACACACGUGCUACAAUGGCCAACACAAAGAGAUGCAACGGGGCGACCCCAAGCCAACCUCAAAAAAUUGGUCUCAGUUCAGAUUGCAGGCUGCAACUCGCCUGCAUGAAGGUGGAAUCGCUAGUAAUCGCCGGUCAGCUAUACGGCGGUGAAUCCGUUCCCGGGCUUUGUACACACCGCCCGUCACACCAUGGGAGCUGACUAUGCCCAAAGUCAUUACUCUAACACCGGCUUGCUGGUGAGGGGGAUGCCUAAGGCAGAGUGAGUGACUGGGGUG